CAAGUCGAACGCGAAAGUUCCCUUCGGGGAGCGAGUAGAGUGGCGCACGGGUGAGUAACACGUAGGUAUCUACCUUUGGAUUGGGAAUAACCAUCGGAAACGGUGGCUAAUACCGAAUAAUGCAGCGGCACCUAAUGGUGACAGUUGUUAAAGCGGGGGAUCGCAAGACCUCGCGUCUGAAGAGGAGCCUGCGGCAGAUUAGCUAGUUGGUAAGGUAACGGCUUACCAAGGCAAUGAUCUGUAGCCGGCCUGAGAGGGCGGUCGGCCACACUGACACUGACAUACGGGUCAGACUCCUACGGGAGGCAGCAGUCGGGAAUUUUGGGCAAUGGGCGAAAGCCUGACCCAGCAACGCCGCGUGAAGGAUGAAAUCCUUCGGGAUGUAAACUUCGCAAGAACGGGAAGAAUAAGUAAGAGCUAACAUCUCUUAUGAUGACGGUACUGUUUGUAAGCUCCGGCUAACUCCGUGCCAGCAGCCGCGGUAAUACGGGGGGAGCAAGCGUCGUUCGGAUUUACUGGGCGUAAAGGGCGCGUAGGCGGCCACCGCAAGUCAGUUGUGAAAUCUCUGGGCUUAACCCAGAACGGUCAGCUGAUACUGCGGGGCUAGAGUGCAGAAGGGGCAACUGGAAUUCUCGGUGUAGCGGUGAAAUGCGUAGAUAUCGAGAGGAACACCUGCGGCGAAGGCGGGUUGCUGGGCUGACACUGACGCUGACAGCGCGAAAGCUAGGGGAGCGAACGGGAUUAGAUACCCCGGUAGUCCUAGCCUUAAACGAUGAAUGCUUGGUGUCUGGGGUUUUAUAGUCCCCGGGUGCCGUCGCUAACGCUUUAAGCAUUCCGCCUGGGGAGUACGGUCGCAAGACUGAAACUCAAAGGAAUUGACGGGGACCCGCACAAGCGGUGGAGCAUGUGGUUUAAUUCGACGCA
rnacentral:rRNA from 1 species